AGUGAACGCUGGCGGUACGCCUAACACAUGCAAGUCGAACGGCAGCACAGUAAGAGCUUGCUCUUACGGGUGGCGAGUGGCGGACGGGUGAGGAAUACAUCGGAAUCUACUUUUUCGUGGGGGAUAACGUAGGGAAACUUACGCUAAUACCGCAUACGACCUACGGGUGAAAGCAGGGGAUCUUCGGACCUUGCGCGAUUGAAUGAGCCGAUGUCGGAUUAGCUAGUUGGCGGGGUAAAGGCCCACCAAGGCGACGAUCCGUAGCUGGUCUGAGUGGAUGAUCAGCCACACUGGAACUGAGACACGGUCCAGACUCCUACGGGAGGCAGCAGUGGGGAAUAUUGGACAAUGGGCGCAAGCCUGAUCCAGCCAUACCGCGUGGGUGAAGAAGGCCUUCGGGUUGUAAAGCCCUUUUGUUGGGAAAGAAAAGCAGCAGGUUAAUACCCCGCUGUUCUGACGGUACCCAAAGAAUAAGCACCGGCUAACUUCGUG
rnacentral:rRNA from 1 species